UAAUAUCAGCUGAGAUCAACAUGUUUGCGAAGUGUAUUACUUUCAGGGUGGUUGUACGCAAAUUGAUAAAUACGUUUUCAGACUGCAAGUGUUGUUGUUGUUGUUGUUGUUGUUACUGUUGAUAGUCAAGUCACUGCGUACAUAGACGUGACGUCCAGCUGUGGAAGCUGAGUGAGGAUAGGAGAAGGUUCUCUAUCCAAGAAACCAUUGGAUGAUAUCACAGUGCUGGUUGGGGAUUUUCUUGGGAAUGAGUCUAGAAUAAUUCAUGGGAUAAACCACGCUGGUUAUGACAUAGGAAAUCAUGAUAUUCCCAGCUGGAGGAUGCUGUGUUCUCAAAGGGAUGUGAAUGCCAGUACUCCAGAGGAAGUUAUUCUCUAUGUGUCUGAGGAGGAUGACUACACUCCCCACCAGCUUCAACCCCAACCUCAUAUUUAGACCAAAUUGUAACACAGCUUGUGUCUCCUAUACUUGCAUCCUCUAUAAUACCAAUGCCGGAGUCCCCAAACCUCCACAACAGAAGGACUUGCUCCAACAGAUCCUCAAAGCUGAUCUCCACAAAGCACAGAACCGGCAAUGGGCAGAGGAAGCCAGGUAGCGAGCAGAGGAAGCCAAGCUGCAGACUUAGGAGGCCCGCAAGGAGGCAUAUGUUUCCCAGAGGCAGGCUUUUGAUUUAGUGCCAAAAUACUUCAGUAAUAAGUAGAUAGUGAAACAGUGAGAACUCUUUUAAGUGCAAUGAUUAAAGUUAAACAAAGUU